ensembl:lncRNA
UGAGGACUGAGACAGGGACAUGGGAUGUGAUACAUAGGACCAGGGUAAAGCAUGCCUUUGCUGAAAUGGAGGACUAUGGUCAAAGCCAAGUAGCUACAGAAACUCAGACUAGGAGAGGGUUUGAUAAACCCUGUGGUGACUGAAACAGCUGACCAUUUGACUUUCUGUCCCACAUGCACUGGGCAGUAGGCAGCAACAGCAAUUAUUCUCUGGCCAAAGUAUUGAAUGUGGAUGUUUGACUAGGUAAGACGCACAAAUCCUUCCAAAGCUUUAGAUCCCAAGUAGGAUGAGAAGCCUCGCAGGGCAGGAUGUUCCAUGUACGCCAUAACCAACGCAGAAAUGUCUUUCGUGUGGGGAAAGCCAGCCAUCAAGAGUUAAUCUGCUCAAUCUGUGACUACAUUACGUUGGGUUUCAGCAUCCGAGAUGGUGACCAUAUAAUGAAGUCUUUAUGUGUUGUGUUUGCAUUGCUAAACUGGAAACUGUGAAAUGCAUUCACUGGAUGAAUUAAGAGUUCAUCUUCAAAGAAAAACAAAAUGCAAGAAACCCAGGCAAGCUUCAAUAGCUUUUACAUAAUACAGUCAUAACUCUUGUUUACAAGACAAAUGUGAGAAUUGUCAUCACUUUCAGUGGUUAG